UCUUUUGCACUUUGCUUCAGCUCCACCCAUAGUGACACACAACAAUUUGCAUUAUAUUCUCCUUUUGUGCAGCUAAAUCUACCUCUUUGAACCCCAAGAAUCUUAAUCUGCCUUUCCUCUGCAUGCAUAUGCUCUCUGUUCUUCUGCUCCUCGGUCGGAAGUGUUGACCUGUGCCAAAAGGCCAAGAAAAGCUAUUGGAUUCUUCUUGUGGCGUGUCUGUCUCUUUUGCCUUUGUUCCGAGUCUGUGACGUCCCCAUGCCCGUCAUCUUCUCUCUCCUUGUUGCUUCAAAAGUGUCAUUCCAUCUGCUGUCUGAUGGCACAAUCAUCUACUGCACUGUUCAUAUAAACAACUGGAAUCCAGCUCCAGCACUUGAGAACUAUCAAGAACUCCAUUACUGCAUCAGAUUUAAUUGGCUCAAGUCUCUCUACCUUGAAACCUGGAGAGACAAAAGAAAAAGUCUUGAUGACACAAAUGAAUCACCUGUUGCUUCAGAUGGAUGAGCAAGGCAAUGCCCAAUGAACGCUUCUUCUUCUUCUCCCUCCUCUCCUGCCGCUUUUGCUCUGAUACCUUGCAAUGUAAGUGGCCACUGUUGGCUCCUCCCGUAAACGCUCAUUCUACCUCUGACCUUGAAACAAGCAGAUCCAUGGAUCGCACACCUUGCGAAUCAUGCCCAUCUUGGAAUUCUCAACAGGAUUGGACCUAGUGCGGUCCAUAACAUGAACAACAGAGCCCACAAUUGCAUCUUCCGGACAACUCAUAAAAUGAGGGCCUUAUAGUCCAAUCCACCACCACCUCCGCCUCCCUGGCGACGUCGCAUUCCGCGAUAAGUAUUCUUGCUUUAGGGAAAGAUUCUGAGAGAUAGGUUCACGGUUAAACCCUGACGCCGUGGAACUCGUUGUAAACGAUGCAAAGGACGCGGUCGAUGCCAGCAAGUGGGCGUCUUCAACCUUGGGACGCGACGCAAGCCAUGUUGCCUCACGACUCUUCUUAUAAUUCUGGAGGAGGAAGAAAGAUUGGAUAAUAAGAAGAUGCUGAAACGAUCACUAGAACUUCAAGAUAUAUUGAAUUGGUGAAAUAGAUGGGGGAUUCAAUGCCAAGGAUUAGAAAUGAAGGCAGCUGUACAGCCUCCCUGUAUUGCGCCAGAUUUCUGUAACUGUUUGUUCCUGGGACAUUCCCCAUGAUCACUGUGUUUGGCCUAGUAACAUGAACCAGAAUUUUGAAUAAAGAUACGCCCACCUGCAAAACAUGGAAAGAUUAUAAAACAGCAAAUUUUGGCGUAGUUAAAGCUAUGGCGAGGCCCGUCUGUACUGAGAUGAGAAGAACCCCAAAGAAAGCACUCAUACAAGCCAGGAAAUCAAAUUUAUCCACCUUCCACAGCAGAAAUGCACCUCGAACAUCGAUCAGUCCGAUCACUGCAACAAUAAUGAUCGCCGACAACAUGACGUUGGGAGUAUAAUAGAACAGUGGCAUGAGAAAUAGCAUGGUGAAGAGCACUGCAGAUGCCAUGACUAUGUUGGAUACUGCCGUUUUACAUCCAGCGUUGUAGUUUACAGCUGACCUUGAGAAUGAACCUGGGUUGUAUUUUCCAACAAAAGAACAAGAGAUUUUAUGCAUGAAGCACAUGACCCUGCCAUGUUCAUGGCUCCUAAGGCCACCAUCUCUUUGUUGCCAUCAAUCUGAUAAUUUUUCAGAGAAGCAAAUGUCCUCCCCACAGCCAUUCCUUCCUGUAACCCACAGUAAGUUCGUGCUUGUUAUUUCAAGAGGGAUGAACUCAGUCGUUUUUCCUUUUCAGCAAUGGAAGAUUUUGAAUCUACAAUUUACCAAAAUGAGUUGAAAGGUUUAGUGUGUUACAGUGAGAGCCAAUAUUCCAGUAAUUAUUCCAGUUCUGAUGGCAAGACUCAAGUAGGGGCCUCUAAAGAACAGCAUGUUCACUGAAGGAGGAUUCACCCCUUUCUGCAAAUGCCCAAUCUGUUUAACACCAAGAAGUUAGAACAAGAAGAAACAAAGAAACUUCAAUUUCUUUCUGGCAUGAAGAUUCUUACUGUUUUGAUGCCAUGGUUUUGAGCUUUGAAGAUAAAGGAAAGGACAGUGGAGAGAAUCACUGAAGUUAGAGGAGCUGCUGCUGAUACCCAGAACAGCUUGGGUCUUCUGGAGCUCUGAUUCAUAUGAGUUCUAAAGUCAUUCCAAAGCAUAAACCAGCAAACAGUGCAGAGAAAGCAACAAGUAAAAGCUGAAGUUGAUGCUAAUUAGCUUAGCACAUGUCGAUCACUACCAUGUUCUGAUCAUCGAUCUCUUAGGAAUUGAAAGGGAGAGCUAUCAAGCAUAAGGAUGGAAUUAGAGCUUACUAUAUGCCUUGCCACCAACAGAAAAACCAGGAAUGAGAGCCCCAUCACUACCGUUUGCCAAGCCCACUGCUCAAAACAAGAAGAGAGAUAAAGAUCAGCCGACUGCAUCACUGGAAUGAUCCCCAUCUUGGUGGUGAAGUGAACUAUGCCAAGCAGUCCUUUGAGCUGCUGAAGUGAUACGAUGACCGCUGCACCUCCCAUGAAUCCUGUCAACGUCGGUUUUGAUAGAAAGUCCAC